rnacentral:lncRNA from 1 species
AAGUCAGAGAAGAAAUGUUACAAAAUGAAGCAACCGAAGAAGGAAAAGCGCUAGAAAAAAAUACAUAGAAAAUAUGUAGCAGUAGACAACAGUGCAAAAGAUCCGUGUGUCUCAAAGGGCGAUGAAAAGUGCUAUGUUGGGUGUUUCACUACGAGACAAGAUCCCAAACCGCCAGCUACGACAAAGAUCGAGUGGUUCACAGAUCACUUAACUCUCUUUAGAUGUUUCACGCAGGUAUCUCAAGGUCAUCCUAAACUAAAUGCCAUUUUUAGUAAUGAUACGUUUUUUAAGAUGUCGCCAUGCACCUGGAGUGAAGAUUUCUUCUAUAUCACUGAGUCUGAGUAUCAUUAUAAUUUGUCAAUUGUCAUCAUUGUCAGUAUGCCAAUGCCUUUAUCUUUAUGUCAGUAAAUGUUUAUCUGAUUGUUAGCAAUAAUAAAAAUCCUGAUUUAGAUAAAAUGGAUUCAAAUAUAGUUUUUGAAACAAAACGAAUGUGAUUUGAAGAUCCCUAGGAAGAACCAAUUCCUAGCUUACAUUUGCAUGGUGAGUUCAACAAGUAGUAUUUGUUAUUAGAGAACAAGUAACACAGUUAGUGGUGUAGGGAAGCAAAUGAAAAUGAAUGUAACACCAAUUGAAAGUCCUUCAACAAGUGGAGAUGCACACAUGUUUCAAUCAUUUGAGAUACCCUUUUGUAGAAGUAUUUGGAACUCAAUUUGGAAGAUAACUAUUAAUAAUUUCAUUUGUAAAGAUACGAUUUGUAAAAAAGUAUAUACAAAGUGGUUUUGCUGGUAUUAAA